rnacentral:rRNA from 1 species
AUUGAACGCUGGCGGCAGGCCUAACACAUGCAAGUCGAGCGGGGUUUUCGGACCUAGCGGCGGACGGGUGAGUAAUGCGUAGGAAGCUGCCCGAUAGAGGGGGAUACCAGUUGGAAACGACUGUUAAUACCGCAUAAUGUCUACGGACCAAAGUGUGGGACCUUCGGGCCACAUGCUAUCGGAUGCGCCUACGUGGGAUUAGCUAGUUGGGGAGGCAAUGGCGCACCAAGGCGACGAUCUCUAGCUGGUUUGAGAGGAUGAUCAGCCACACUGGAACUGAGACACGGUCCAGACUCCUACGGGAGGCAGCAGUGGGGAAUAUUGGACAAUGGGCGCAAGCCUGAUCCAGCCAUGCCGCGUGUGUGAAGAAGGCCUUCGGGUUGUAAAGCACUUUCAGCGAGGAGGAAGGGUGGUGUGUUAAUAGCACAUCAUUUUGACGUUACUCGCAGAAGAAGCACCGGCUAACUCUGUGCCAGCCGCCGCGGUAAAAC